UUCUUUCAUCACUUUUGCUGAAGAUUCCUAGCAAUGUUAUGUUCCAUGUAUGUACCUAAUCCAACCGAUAUCAAUACUCUGUGCUGGCAGUCAAAGACCUUGAAUCAUGCAGACUUUGCAUUCGGCUCGAUUUUGUACAGGCGAAGUAAGACAAGUUUCUCGAAACUUCAUGAUGGGCGAGCGGGAAGAGGGAGAGAGUGUGUGUCCCAAGCACUCAAAGAGACUGCAAAGAAGCAAUGGAGACUUCAUUCGCACGCUUGGUUUUUCACGAAUAACUCAUUUUGAGUACAUUUUAGGACAAAAUUCCAAGGACUGAAGUUGUAGAGCGAAUAGUUUUACUGCCGAAUUGCAAAGUUUCACUUUUCUGAACUAAUUACCAACUGUACAAAGUCUCACAAUCUGACAAAAAUUCACUGGGGUCGCUUCUGCGCAUGCACAGUGGGACAUACGAGCUCACUGAUGCAAGGUCAGCGCUCUGCACUCAUUGGUCAGUGCACCAUGCGAUUUUUCAAAAGUUGCAGCACUUUCUGUAAAACAGGACGAACGGUCUACUUAAUCCGAUGUCUUUGGCCGAAGUUGACAUUUUAAUAUUGUUCAGUAAUUUGCAAAAACUACUUAAAAUAUUGGUUUGCAUGAAGAUUUUGAAAAUUUGUGAAAAUUUUUGUUCAACCUUCUAUGGAAACAUUCACAUCUUUCAAAAGAAGUGAAAAAAUAGUUUAGUGUAAGUAGUUUUUAGUUUCUUAUAAAAAGAUUAGAAAGCAUGUAGUGUAGACCUAUGUUAUUUUAUUACUAUUUUCUUUGCUUCUUUCCUGGCAAUUUUUCUUUACAAUUUUUAUUAGGAUUACUCUCUUCUUAUUUUUUAUUUUAUUUUGUUUCAGCAACAGUACAACAACAAGAUACAUUAUCAAAAAUUUUUAACGGCUCACCCUGGAAUGCAAGUGCUUCCUCCUCCAAUCCAGCAGUUAGUCAAUCAUUCCAACCCACGCCUGAACUCUUAGCUAGACCAGAAACUCAAAACAUCCUCACUAGUCUGAAGAGAGGCGAACUCAGCUUGCACCAGCUAGCAGAGCAACUGCGGAAGACCGCAACCUUCCAAUCCAGGCAUAGAGAUAUAUUAGCAACUGUAAUUAAAUUAUAUCAAUCACAAACAGGGGGCAUACCACCUCGCACAAACUCACCUUUGCCCGCUGUUGUGAAUGAGCAAAUGUUGCAAUCAGUUGCUAUUGUCUCAGCAGCAAAGCCAGCACCAGGCGCAACAGUUACGCAUUCCUUCUCCUCAUGCCAAUGGUAUUCAAAGAGUUCCUUCCCCUCGAGAACUUGUUGCUCAUACUCAAAACAUUUUGCAGUCAGCUCUCAUAAAGAAGAAGUUAGAAGAGCAAAAAGAAAAUUUCCGCAAACGACAAGAAUUACAAAGAUCCACUCUCCUAAUUUAUCAAAUAGUUCAAUUAAUAGUAGAUUAAUGGAUAACAAUGAAGCCAAAAUCCCUCAGGGUUCUAGGAGCUAA
rnacentral:lncRNA from 1 species